rnacentral:tRNA from 1 species
GGGGUUGUAGUUAAAUAUAACAUUUGAGUUGCAUUCAAAAAGUACUGAAAUAGUCUACCUUA